GUAGGGAAUAUUGGACAAUGGGGGCAACCCUGAUCCAGCGACGCCGCGUGAGUGACGAAGGCCUUCGGGUCGUAAAGCUCUGUUGCAAGGGAAAAACAAAAUGAUGGUACCUUGCUAGAAAGGAUCGGCUAACUUCGUGCCAGCAGCCGCGGUAAGACGAGGGAUCCUAGCGUUGUUCGGAAUUAUUGGGCGUAAAGCGGGUGUAGGUGGCUUUGUAAGUCAGGUGUGAAAGCCUGGGGCUUAACCCCAGAAGUGCAUUUGAUACUGCGAAGCUUGAGUGUUGGAGAGGCUACUAGAAUUCUUGGUGUAGUGGUGAAAUACGUAGAUAUCAAGAGGAAUACCGGAGGCGAAGGCGGGUAGCUGGCCAGACACUGACACUCAGACCCGAAAGCGUGGGGAUCAAACAGGAUUAGAUACCCCUGUAGUCC
rnacentral:rRNA from 1 species